rnacentral:rRNA from 1 species
CUACGGGUGGCUGCAGUGGGGAAUUUUGGACAAUGGGGGAAACCCUGAUCCAGCCAUCCCGCGUGAGUGAAGAAGGCCUUCGGGUUGUAAAGCUCUUUCGAAAGUAAAGAAAACUUAUUUCGUAAUAUGUUAUAAGUAUGACGGUAACUUUAGAAGAAGCACCGGCUAACUACGUGCCAGCAGCCGCGGUAAUACGUAGGGUGCGAGCGUUAAUCGGAAUUACUGGGCGUAAAGCGUGCGCAGGCGGUUUUGUAAGUCAGAUGUGAAAUCCCCGAGCUUAACUUGGGAACUGCGUUUGAAACUACAAGACUAGAGUGUGUCAGAGGGGGGUAGAAUUCCACGUGUAGCAGUGAAAUGCGUAGAGAUGUGGAGGAAUACCAAUGGCGAAGGCAGCCCCCUGGGAUAACACUGACGCUCAUGCACGAAAGCGUGGGGAGCGAACAGGAUUAGAUACCCCAGUAGUC